rnacentral:rRNA from 1 species
AGUGAACGCUGGCGGUAGGCCUAACACAUGCAAGUCGAACGGUAGCACAGUAAGAGCUUGCUCUUACGGGUGGCGAGUGGCGGAUGGGUGAGGAAUACAUCGGAAUCUACUUUUUCGUGGGGGAUAACGUAGGGAAACUUACGCUAAUACCGCAUACGACCUACGGGUGAAAGCAGGGGAUCUUCGGACCUUGCGCGAUUGAAUGAGCCGAUGUCGGAUUAGCUAGUUGGCGGGGUAAAGGCCCACCAAGGCGACGAUCCGUAGCUGGUCUGAGAGGAUGAUCAGCCACACUGGAACUGAGACACGGUCCAGACUCCUACGGGAGGCAGCAGUGGGGAAUAUUGGACAAUGGGCGCAAGCCUGAUCCAGCCAUACCGCGUGGGUGAAGAAGGCCUUCGGGUUGUAAAGCCCUUUUGUUGGGAAAGAAAAGCAGCAGGUUAAUACCCCGCUGUUCUGACGGUACCCAAAGAAUAAGCACCGGCUAACUUCGUG